UAGAAUGUGGUGUAAAGGAAGCACGUGGAAGUUUGAGUUCUUUGGUAUGGGUUCGAAUCCUAUUGUUCUAG
rnacentral:tRNA from 1 species